GAUGAACGCUGGCGGCGUGCCUAAUACAUGCAAGUCGAGCGAACAGACGAGGAGCUUGCUCCUCUGACGUUAGCGGCGGACGGGUGAGUAACACGUGGAUAACCUACCUAUAAGACUGGGAUAACUUCGGGAAACCGGAGCUAAUACCGGAUAAUAUAUUGAACCGCAUGGUUCAAUAGUGAAAGACGGUUUUGCUGUCACUUAUAGAUGGAUCCGCGCCGCAUUAGCUAGUUGGUAAGGUAACGGCUUACCAAGGCGACGAUGCGUAGCCGACCUGAGAGGGUGAUCGGCCACACUGGAACUGAGACACGGUCCAGACUCCUACGGGAGGCAGCAGUAGGGAAUCUUCCGCAAAGGGCGAAAGCCUGACGGAGCAACGCCGCGUGAGUGAUGAAGGUCUUCGGAUCGUAAAACUCUGUUAUUAGGGAAGAACAAAUGUGUAAGUAACUAUGCACGUCUUGACGGUACCUAAUGAGAAAGCCACGGCUAACUACGUG
rnacentral:rRNA from 1 species